rnacentral:tRNA from 1 species
UAGACAGAUGCUUUCUGGUUUAAGCGCUUAGCUGUUAAUUAAGUAUUUGUAGGAUCGAAGCCUUCCUGUCUAU